GGGGCUGUAACGGUUUCGACGUUUUAACGAAAGUCGCGUUGUGAUUCAGGCCGAGAGUGAGUCCACUCUCGUAAAUCAAGGCUCAAACAAACGUAGAUGCGAACAACAUCGUACCUUUCGCUCGUAAGCAAGCAGCAGUUGCUAUUGCCUAAAAACCUCUCAUAGGUUCGAGCGUCCGCAGUUUGACUCCGUUAAGAGCUGUGGACCAACCCCCAACGGAUGCGCUAGCAAGCCGCCUCAGAUCGGCGAGCUAGCAAAGACCUUUAUCUGAGAAUCCUAUCGUCCGGGAUAAGGGACGAUUCCCGCCUUGAGGAUUAGAUAGGCUAAGCCUGUGAAUGAAUGACGCGUGAUUACUUAAAGCGGACACGGGUUCGACUCCCGUCAGCUCCAUCU
rnacentral:tmRNA from 1 species